GUGCUCCCUUCAGCAGUACCUAUACUAAAAUUGGAGUCACAUAGAGAAGACUGGCAUGGCCCUUGCGCAAGGAGAAAAGGACAAGGUGAGUGAAAGAAUCAGUUAUU